rnacentral:rRNA from 1 species
GCGCACCAGGCGAGAAACCUCCGCAAUACACGAAAGUGUGACGGGGCCAUCCCGAGUGCCGUCCGCUGAGGACGGCUUUUCCUCAGUGUACACAGCUGGGGGAAUAAGGAGAGGGCAAGCCUGGUGUCAGCCGCCGCGGUAAUACCAGCUCUCCGAGUGGUGGGGACGCUUAUUGGGCCUAAAGCAUCCGUAGCCGGCUGGGCAAGUCCUCCGUUAAAUCCAACGAUUCAAUCGUUGGGCUGCGGGGGAUACUGUCCAGCUUGGGGGCGGGAGAGGCCGACGGUAUUCCCCGGGGUAGGGGUGAAAUCCUAUAAUCCCGGGAGGACCACCAGUGGCGAAGGCUGUCGGCUAGAACGCGCCCGACGGUGAGGGAUGAAAGCUGGGGGAGCGAACCGGAUUAGAUA